AGUGGCGGACGGGUGAGUAACGCGUGGGUAACCUGCCUCAUACAGGGGGAUAACAGUUAGAAAUGACUGCUAAUACCGCAUAAGACCACAGCACCGCAUGGUGCAGGGGUAAAAACUCCGGUGGUAUGAGAUGGACCCGCGUCUGAUUAGGUAGUUGGUGGGGUAACGGCCUACCAAGCCGACGAUCAGUAGCCGACCUGAGAGGGUGACCGGCCACAUUGGGACUGAGACACGGCCAA
rnacentral:rRNA from 1 species